GUAGGUGGCAAGCGUUGUCCGGAAUUAUUGGGCGUAAAGCGCGCGCAGGCGGGUCCUUUAAGUCUGAUGUGAAAGCCCACGGGCUCAACCGUGGAGGGUCAUUGGAAACUGGGGGACUUGAGUACAGAAGAGGAAAGCGGAAUUCCACGUGUAGCGGUGAAAUGCGUAGAGAUGUGGAGGAACACCAGUGGCGAAGGCGGCUUUCUGGUCUGUAACUGACGCUGAGGCGCGAAAGCGUGGGGAGCAAACAGGAUUAGAUACCCUGGUAGUCCACGCCGUAAACGAUGAGUGCUAAGUGUUACGGGGGUUUCCGCCCCUUAGUGCUGCAGCUAACGCAUUAAGCACUCCGCCUGGGGAGUACGGCCGCAAAGGCUG
rnacentral:rRNA from 1 species